rnacentral:rRNA from 1 species
ACGGGUGAGUAACGCGUGACGCGACCAACCUUGCACAGGGGGAUAACGGACCGAAAGGUUCACUAAUACCGCAUGAGACCACGGUGUUGCAUGACACGAGAGGUCAAAGGAGCAAUCCGGUGCAAGACGGGCUCGCGUCCGAUUAGGUAGUUGAGGGGUAACGGCCCACCAAGCCUAUGAUCGGUAGCCGACCUGAGAGGGUGAUCGGCCACAUUGGAACUGAGAUACGGUCCAAACUCCUACGGGAGGCAGCAGUGGGGAAUAUUGGGCAAAUGGGGGGAAACCCUGACCCAGCAACGCCGCGUGAAGGAAGAAGGUUUUUCGGAUUGUAAACUUCUGUCCUUGGUGAAGAGAAGAAGACGGUAGCCAAGGAGGAAGCCCCGGCUAACUACGUGCCAGCAGCCGC